UGGGGAAUCUUAGACAAUGGGGGCAACCCUGAUCUAGCCAUGCCGCGUGAUCGAUGAAGGCCUUAGGGUUGUAAAGAUCUUUCAGUGGGGAAGAUAAUGACGGUACCCACAGAAGAAGCCCCGGCUAACUCCGUGCCAGCAGCCGCGGUAAUACGGAGGGGGCUAGCGUUAUUCGGAAUUACUGGGCGUAAAGCGCACGUAGGCGGAUCGGAAAGUUGGGGGUGAAAUCCCAGGGCUCAACCCUGGAACUGCCUUCAAAACUCCCGGUCUUGAGGUCGAGAGAGGUGAGUGGAAUUCCGAGUGUAGAGGUGAAAUUCGUAGAUAUUCGGAGGAACACCAGUGGCGAAGGCGGCUCACUGGCUCGAUACUGACGCUGAGGUGCGAAAGCGUGGGGAGCAAACAGGAUUAGAUACCCCCGUAGUCC
rnacentral:rRNA from 1 species